GACGAACUGUCCUAACGUUGUUCGGAAUCACUGGGCUUAAAGGGCGCGUAGGCGGUCCGACAAGUCAGGGGUGAAAUCCUGCGGCUUAACCGCAGGGCUGCCUUCUAAACUGUCAGGCUCGAGCACAGUAGAGGCAGGUGGAAUUCCCGGUGUAGCGGUGGAAUGCGUAGAGAUCGGGAAGAACAUCAGUGGCGAAGGCGGCCUGCUGGGCUGUUGCUGACGCUGAGGCGCGACAGCGUGGGGAGCAAACAGG
rnacentral:rRNA from 1 species